rnacentral:rRNA from 1 species
CCUACGGGCGGCAGCAGUGAGGAAUAUUGGUCAAUGGGCGAGAGCCUGAACCAGCCAAGUAGCGUGAGGGAGUACUGCCCUAUGGGUUGUAAACCUCUUUUGUCGGGGAGCAAAAGCCGGACGUGUCCGGCUUUGAGAGUACCCGAAGAAAAAGCAUCGGCUAACUCCGUGCCAGCAGCCGCGGUAAUACGGAGGAUGCGAGCGUUAUCCGGAUUUAUUGGGUUUAAAGGGUGCGCAGGCGGAUUAUUAAGUCAGCGGUAAAAUCGUGGGGCUCAACCUCAUCCAGCCUUUGAUACUGGUGAUCUAGAGUGAGCUAGAGGUAUGCGGAAUGCGUGGUGAAGCGGUGAAAUGCAUAGAUAUCAGGCAGAACCCCGACGGCGAAGGCAGCAUACCGGUGAACAACUGACGCUCAGGAACGAAAGCGUGGGUAUCGAACAGGAUUAGAUACCCUGGUAGUC